CCUACGGGUGGCUGCAGUGGGGAAUAUUGGACAAUGGGCGAAAGCCUGAUCCAGCCAUGCCGCGUGUGUGAAGAAGGCCUUCGGGUUGUAAAGCACUUUCAGUGGGGAAGAAAGCCUUGGGGCUAAUACCCUCGAGGAAGGACAUCACCCACAGAAGAAGCACCGGCUAACUCCGUGCCAGCAGCCGCGGUAAUACGGAGGGUGCGAGCGUUAAUCGGAAUUACUGGGCGUAAAGCGCGCGUAGGCGGUCUGAUAAGCCGGUUGUGAAAGCCCCGGGCUCAACCUGGGAACGGCAUCCGGAACUGUCAGGCUAGAGUGCAGGAGAGGAAGGUAGAAUUCCCGGUGUAGCGGUGAAAUGCGUAGAGAUCGGGAGGAAUACCAGUGGCGAAGGCGGCCUUCUGGACUGACACUGACGCUGAGGUGCGAAAGCGUGGGUAGCAAACAGGAUUAGAUCCUGGUAGUC
rnacentral:rRNA from 1 species